rnacentral:rRNA from 1 species
AGAGGGUGCAAGCGUUAAUCGGAGUUACUGGGCGUAAAGGGCGCGUAGGUGGUUGAUUAAGUUGGAUGUGAAAUCCCUGGGCUUAACCUAGGAACUGCAUCCAAUACUGAUUGACUAGAGUAUUGUAGAGGGUAGUGGAAUUUCCGGUGUAGCGGUGAAAUGCGUAGAGAUCGGAAGGAACACCAGUGGCGAAGGCGGCUACCUGGACAAAUACUGACACUGAGGCGCGAGAGCGUGGGGAGCAAACAGGAUUAGAUACCCUGGUAGUCCACGCUGUAAACGAUGAAAACUAGAUGUUGGGCAGCAUGACUGUUUAGUAUCGAAGCUAACGCGAUAAGUUUUCCGCCUGGGGAGUACGGUCGCAAG